UGAUCAUUCAUUUUAUAUCCUCCAAUUAUAAGAUGGUUUUAUCUUCAUUUUAAUUCUAUUAUCUUUAUUAAGACAUUUUAGAUAACAUAGAUUUCAAAUGAGAAAUACUCAAUCAAUCAAAAGAGGACAAAAUGUUAAGGCUCUCAUCAAUCAUCGCCCAAAACAGAACCUAACUCAUUCCCUGGGAUAGAAUACUAUCAUACUCGUCGCCAAGCAAGUAGCGCCGCCGCCUGCCACAUCGAAUCGAAGAGCUGCGACGAUUCCUCGAUCGCGUCCAUAGAUGCCAAUAGAUCUCCUCCCCAAGGGAAAAUUCAUAACCAAAAUUCUAGCAGAAAAGACACUACAGAUGCGGCGCGAUUAAGACGUAACUUUUGAUUUGAAUUACUCAAGUUAUCUAUCAAGUACCUAUUUUCAGAGGCCUGCUGAAUGGAUCCAGGAAGGUUGCAACCAUUAUCGCUAGGGGCCCGUUGAAUGGGUCAAGGAUGAAAAGGUCCUUGGUAUGCCACCGCGCGAAAGAAUGUUAUGUAUAUUACGAUCGUAAUUGACGUUGGAGGCGCGUGGAGAGUCGAAUGGGCGCGUCGAACCUUUUGAAAAUAAAUGUUUCUUUCAAACCUAUUAUAUUAUUAAUGUGAUAUCUUUUGACUAGUGUAAACUUUAAAUUUUUAAACUAUUUCAAAUUCGUGUGCGACUUAGUUAAGAUAAAUUUCAUUAUAUUAUCUUAAUGUCAUGACUUGUUUAUUUUAAA